rnacentral:rRNA from 1 species
UACGUAGGGUGCGAGCGUUAAUCGGAAUUACUGGGCGUAAAGCGUGCGCAGGCGGUUUUGUAAGCCAGAUGUGAAAUCCCCGGGCUUAACCUGGGAAUGGCAUUUGGGACUGCAAGGCUGGAGUGCGGCAGAGGAGACUGGAAUUCCUGGUGUAGCAGUGAAAUGCGUAGAUAUCAGGAGGAAUACCGAUGGCGAAGGCAGGUCUCUGUGCUGACACUGACGCUCAUGCACGAAAGCGUGGGGAGCAAACAGG